UGGCUCGGCGGGUUCUCCCGCCAGAAGAUACAUCGGAACUCCUGUUUUAACGGUGUUGUCUGAACUACAAGCAACGAAUCAAAAGUUUCAACAACGGAUCUCUUGGUUCUGGCAUCGAUGAAGAACGCAGCGAAAUGCGAUAAGUAGUGUGAAUUGCAGAAUUCAGGGAAUCAUCGAAUCUUUGAACGCACAUUGCGCCCCUUGGUAUCCCGAGGGGCAUGCCUGUUCUAGCGUCAUUUCACCACUCAAGCCUGGGUUGGGGUUGGGCGACGUCCCCUUUAGGGACGCGCCUUGAAACGCUCGCGGCGUGGCACCGGCUUUAAGCGUAUCAGAAUCUUUCGCUUUGAAAGUCGGGGCCCCGUCUGCCGGAAGACCUACUCGCAAGGUUGACCUCGGAUCAGGCAGGGAUACCCGC
rnacentral:rRNA from 1 species